ACCUUCCGCUCGCUCAUGGCUCAGAGGUGGGGUGGACAACAAAAUUGACUUUUAAUGAACAUACAUCAAUAUGCGAAAAGUAGUAUUGGAGAGAGUAUAAGAUGUACCACAAUUCAGAUAUCCUGUGGCCAACACAGCCAGAACUUAAUCAGAUCACUGGAAUUUACUGCAAGUACCUGAAAGAGAGUGGUUACUGAACCUAACAGCAAGAAACUUGUGUACAGAAGCAAAGCAAAGGCAAUUAGCCCAGUUGUGACCAUUUUGUAACUUAGCAUACCGUGGUGGCCUUGAUCAGCGUAAAAGAGAGAAAUCAAUCAGUUAAGAAUGAGGAAAAAUUGAAAUGGUGUUUAGAGUUUAAAGAGAGAGGAGAUAAUGAGAAACUGUCAUCCAAAAAAAAGUUUGGGCCUGGAGUUUCCAAUUCAGAACAUUUUUGUAAAUUAAAAAAAAAUGUCAUGCUUUCAUUAAGAGGAGACGAAAAGAAACAGAUAACCUAGAGUAUUUGCUGU